rnacentral:rRNA from 1 species
AAGCAGAUCUCCUUCGGGAGUGACGCUUGUGGAACGAGCGGCGGACGGGUGAGUAACACGUGGGCAACCUACCUGUAAGACUGGGAUACUCCGGGAACCGGGGCUAAUACCGGAUGAACAAAGCGUCGCAUGACGCAAUGUUAAAAGGCGGCAUAUGCUGUCACUUACAGAUGGGCCCGCGGCGCAUUAGCUAGUUGGUGAGGUAAAGGCUCACCAAGGCAACGAUGCGUAGCCGACCUGAGAGGGUGAUCGGCCACACUGGGACUGAGACACGGCCCAGACUCCUACGGGAGGCAGCAGUAGGGAAUCUUCCGCAAUGGACGAAAGUCUGACGGAGCAACGCCGCGUGAGUGAUGAAGGUUUUCGGAUCGUAAAACUCUGUUGUUAGGGAAGAACAAGUGCCAUUCGAAUAGGUUGGCACCUUGACGGUACCUAACCAGAAAGCCCCGGCUAACUACGUGCCAGCUAGCCGCGGUAAUACGUAGGGGGCAAGCGUUGUCCGGAAUUAUUGGGCGUAAAGC